AACAGGAUUAGAUACCCUGGUAGUCCACGCCGUAAACGAUGUCGACUUGGAGGUUGUUCCCUUGAGGAGUGGCUUCCGGAGCUAACGCGCUAAGUCGACCGCCUGGGGAGUACGGCCGCAAGGUUAAAACUCAAAUGAAUUGACGGGGGCCCGCACAAGCGGUGGAGCAUGUGGUUUAAUUCGAUGCAACGCGAAGAACCUUACCUACUCUUGACAUCCACGGAAUUUGGCAGAGAUGCCUUAGUGCCUUCGGGAACCGUGAGACAGGUGCUGCAUGGCUGUCGUCAGCUCGUGUUGUGAAAUGUUGGGUUAAGUCCCGCAACGAGCGCAACCCUUAUCCUUUGUUGCCAGCGAUUCGGUCGGGAACUCAAAGGAGACUGCCGGUGAUAAACCGGAGGAAGGUGGGGAUGACGUCAAGUCAUCAUGGCCCUUACGAGUAGGGCUACACACGUGCUACAAUGGCGCAUACAAAGAGAAGCGACCUCGCGAGAGCAAGCGGACCUCACAAAGUGCGUCGUAGUCCGGAUCGGAGUCUGCAACUCGACUCCGUGAAGUCGGAAUCGCUAGUAAUCGUGGAUCAGAAUGCCACGGUGAAUACGUUCCCGGGCCUUGUACACACCGCCCGUCACACCAUGGGAGUGGGUUGCAAAAGAAGUAGGUAGCUUAACCUUCGGGAGGGCGCUUACCACUUUGUGAUUCAUGACUGGGGUGAAGUCGUAACAAGGUAACC
rnacentral:rRNA from 1 species